rnacentral:tRNA from 1 species
GGUUUUCAGCUCGAUGGUCGAGCAGAUUGUAUUGUAAACAAUAAGUUGUUGGUUCGAGUCCAACAAAACCACCA